UUUGGAUGUGGAUAAUUGCGUUUACGAAUAUGGAAGGUAUCAGACCCGGUGGUGUCACUGUCAGUGUUUCAAAAGUGAAAUAUGUAAAUAUUGUGUGCCGCUUACAUUUCAACGUUCUCGCGUAGAUUUGAGUAUAACUUUGAAAAACAAAGAAACGAUCUUAGUGAAACGAGUUAUUUUUUGUGUUGCGAAGUGAUUUCAUUGCAUAAAAAGUUGAGACAUUUUUCAAGUUUUACUUUGCGUCCGUUGACGUGACGGCCUAGCUUCGUCAGACACACCCUUGGCCGUGAAGAGAGCCUGGGGCCCAGAUUAGCAAGAAGGUGCGGCCCCAGAUGAAUGACCAGGUGGGCUUUUGAUCUGACUAGAGGACUGCAAAAUUGCGUGUGCGUGCACACCUUAACAUAGAAAAUAGGGAAGGAAUAGGAGUCAUAGGAAGCCCACGCAACUGGAAAAAGCCAGAGACAAUUUUGAAACCAAGGGGGCAGCAUCUCCUCUCCAAAAGCUCCUUCCCCUCUUCUGCCUGCCUCUAUCCAGGCGCCAUUGUUGUGUACCGCAUGGUCGCACUAAGUAUACUUUACAGUGUUCCCUACCUUAUCUAGACCUCCAUCCAACCUGCUUCCGAUGCCAAGCCAUCCCAAUGACCAGAGACCUUUUGCUGUGGAAUUCUCUCGCCUUGAUUGCGGCUGCCUUCCCCAUGUCCUGGUACCUUGAUUAUUACCCAGGAUCUGCUACGUCUUAGUAUUCAGUUUUUAUCUUUUGAUGGUGUUAAUGCAAAUACAUGUAAUUUUAAAGUUAUCCGAACUUGUUUAUCUACAAUUACUUAAAGUAAAAGCCUUCAGCUCAUGUAACAAAUCCCCUUUUUUCCUUUUUUUCACGGUUUCUUGCUCUUAUAGCAGUCAGAUCCCAGAAUUUCAAAUGGGAAAUAAGCAAUUGUUUUGUCUAAACCCAGAAAUUAGC